GCCUCCUAUAAAGUUUAUUUAGGAGGCGUUGGUUAACCAUAGCACAAGUUGAUGGGUGUUCUGUGAAAUUGGUUCUUUAUUCUGUGAUAGCACGGGCCGCGUGACCAUAGUUUCGCUACAGUAUACUAGAAUACCUUGUACACUGUGCUUCGCCUCGCGUGGUUUCGCCAGCGGAGGUGGUGCGCGUGUUUUCUCGCCAGUGAAUUUGAUUGUUUUGUGUUUUGCCUCUUUUAACCGUCCAGCAACAUUUCGCAUCUUUGUCGUCGUCCUCGUGAGUUCAAGAUGGGAGCGAAACCUCGUGUGCUUGAGUCGUGCAUUCAGUGAAAGCAUCAUCCACUCCACAAUACAGUGCCACUUAAGCACACGGCGGCGACCAGUGACAGCGAUCGCACAGCUUCGCAAAGUCGCGUUCCACGACAGGACGCGCAUCUUGUCUCUGAAUCUGCUUGAUUGAGAGCCCGCUUUCUCGGCCUUCCGAGAGUGGUAUGCUUCUUGACUUUUCAGGUGUGCGAAUGCCAGUCUCCGGUCCCGUCAAGGGUCGGCUAGCCGCGGUUUUUACUAGCAGCUUCCCCGUGGUGUUUAUGGACUCCCUAAAUGAAGCCAUAUAGCCCGUGGCGCUCGUCCCUACAUAUGGUGGAGCCAUUCGCCAGUUUAUACAAUAGUUUCCACACAUUUCCUUGGUCUUCGAACAAAAUCAAGUGUGUUGGCAGUACUCCCCUCGAUCUUCGACGCCGUUAUUUAACUUUCAAUCCAAGCAUUCCAAAGUAGUAAAAAACGCAAUUGCCAUGUCGUGCCUUAAGUCUUCUCUCACCACAUCGUGCAUGCACAAAAUGAGCGCCAGUUUUAAUGCACAGGUCCGGCGCCUAUUAGAAGCAGGUUAUCCUAGCGUAGCAAUGGCCAUUGUGGCUGCACGCCUAAACAAGUCGAUUUCGCGGGGGACGGACGUGAUUACAGAAAGCAGUAAUAGCAAGAAAAGAGUCGUGGCUAUUCCUUACAUUCAUUCAGUAGUCGCACAGGCUUAAGAAAGUUGCAAGUAGAUAUAAUGUUAAUGUUGUUUUUACUGCUCCCAAUAAGCUAGGUAAGAUAUGCGCUGCCGUGCAGAGGAAAAAAGGAUCAGGU
rnacentral:lncRNA from 1 species